rnacentral:lncRNA from 1 species
UCCGAUUGCUCUAGUCAAUGGGUCGGUCAAGUUCUCCUUUCAGUCGAUCUUCCUGAGGUCAACUUUAUUUCGAUCUUAUUGAACAAGGUGAUUGCAAUGCAGAAAGUAUUUGAUUUACAGAUGGAACAUCAAUUCUUCAGCUUGAGUUAUGGCUCCAGUACUGCUAUCAAUACAGCAAAAUUGGACCAUCAAUAAAGGGUGCCUCUCCAAGCUUGCUUAUAAACUUCUAUAACCAAACAACUUCUUUACC